UACGUAGGGUGCGAGCGUUAAUCGGAAUUACUGGGCGUAAAGCGUGCGCAGGCGGUCUGUUAAGACCGAUGUGAAAUCCCCGGGCUUAACCUGGGAACUGCAUUGGUGACUGGCAGGCUUUGAGUGUGGCAGAGGGAGGUAGAAUUCCACGUGUAGCAGUGAAAUGCGUAGAGAUGUGGAGGAAUACCGAUGGCGAAGGCAGCCUCCUGGGCAAACGCUGACGCUCAUGCACGAAAGCGUGGGGAGCAAACAGG
rnacentral:rRNA from 1 species